UCACAGCCAAACGUUUGAGCGCUGCAUUUCUACUUCCUGUUGCCCUUCAACUGUGUGGGGAGUGGAGCGAGAUCAAUGUUAUGGUAAGAAAUCUAAAGCCAUCCUACAUCCAAUUUCUUCAAAUUGUGUCGAAAUUGUGUAGUUUAUAUUAGAUGGAUACUAUUUGGUUUGAUUUCUGUUCACAUUUCCGUAGUUUGUUAUUGCUGUAGCCUAAACGGUUAAAUCCUGCAUGGCAGGUGUUCCAGUGCAUGUGUGCUUCAGGCUAGCGGUUCUUUGGCAACUUGGCUUGUUUGUUACUUCUCUACAGGUCGACAGUAAACUAAACCAACCUUGAAAUUGGUUAUUAUGCUGUUUGAAACGACACAAAGCCACAAGUGAUUGUCAUACAAAACUAUUGUGGUAUUUUUGUCAUUCUCCUCAACGGGACAUCCAUGUGGCGACAUGGCUGGUAUUAUCUCCGUGUUCAAUCUGGUCAAGCAGAUGAGGGGCCUUCAUUUACUGCCGACAUAGAUGAGGUUCUGAUCAAGAAGGUGAUGCAACGCCCAUGCUCAACCUGGAGGAAGGAGGUUCUCCGGGAGCCAGCAAUUCCAGACUUCCAGAACAGAUGGCACUUUUUGAUGCCAGCGAGAUCAAUUUGGAAUUCAUGUAAAUUGCCACUGUACCUCUGACCUCAAUUCUUUGGUGAACUGGACUAUCGGGCAAGUGGCCUUAUCCGGAUCUUCUGUACCGAAGGUGGAGCUGUAGGACGGAAGAUCUCUGCCAUAAUGACCCACAUGGGACAUGAUGCCGGCGAACUGUCUGUGUAUGAACUUCAGCGACUUGAACAUCUUUGAAGAUUUCACAAGCAUGUGGACAUGCAGCAGAGGAUCUCCGGACUCGGGAUGCAAGUGAGGCCAAAGCAAGAUAAUGAAGACCUUGAAUGCAGACAGGCCUGGGCAGACACUGCUGAGAAGACCAUGGGCAUCUACACAGUCCGGACAGAGGGUGAUGGUCUAGGUGAUGCAUGUUUUGAAGAUGUCUGUGUGGCACUGGACGGUGUGAGUUCUCCAGAGCCUGCGGAGUGUCGGCCAUGCAUGUGUUGGGCUUUAUGAACGAAUCUAUGCACCAACUUGAGCUAUCCAAAAAGACUGCGAAAUAUACAUACAUUUGAGGGUUACCAGAAAGUUCUGAUGGACCUGUACUCAAGCAAGCUUGAAAUAGCUCCUGUGAUUCAGUGGCAUACACGCCUGUUAGACUCUCACUUCGCUUCCGCUCACACUGCCGCAGUGGCAUUGGUUGUGACCCGUAGAUGGUCGACCAGGGGAAAAAAACUAUAAAACUCAUGAUAUUUUUGUCUUCGACCAAGUGGUCAGUGUGGAGGAGUUUGAGGUUUUUUUUUGUUUUUUUUUUUAAUCCAUGUCUGCUGUCGGCCACAUACACACAACUGUUGCCCACACACCAGCGGCCUAUACUACAAAACUGGUUCAGGAUACGUUAAGGUUAAGUUGAGAGUGAAAUCAACUAAUAGAAGAGCCCAGAGUACUUAUUUUCUUUAGAAAGGCUCUUAGAUGAUGAGAUAAAGGUAUUAGAUGAUUUACCUAACUUAGUAAUAGGCCCCUGGUGAACUAUUCUGUACACAAACCAGCUGAACUAGUGUGCCGGCUCACUUGGUUGACUACGUGUAUUGGCUGCCUAAGUACACCUGCUGAACUUUUGUUGCACCCACAAACUUGGACUGUUGGCUGUGUGCACACACCUAUUAGGACUGUUGUACUUAAUGCCAGCUGAAGUAUUGUGUGUGCACACCUGAUCUUUUUCUUGUGUACUACACACCUGUGGGACUGUUUCGCCCACGCACGCUUGCGUGGCCAUUUGUGUUAACCUUUUGCGCCCGCAAGUCACACCAACACACUUACCCAACUUUUCUGUCUUUCAACUUGUGUUCAGAUGAGUUGUUUGUGUAAAAAAUGUUUGUACAGUAUAUAGAAAUGUACUGUGUUCUUUGUCAAGACACCUGUGUGAUGGAUGGUGAACAUGGUGUAAUUUCUGCCUUAUUUUCCCUUUCCUUGGUUUUUCUUAUUAUACAGGGUGUUUGUUAAAAUGUUUUUUGCAUUAGCUAGCUGGUCAGGAGGGGAAAAACCUCAGCAUACUGACCAUUUUGCUUUGAAAUUACUUUGACCUUUUGGUCUUACUCCAAGUGUGCAGGGGCCUAUACUACAAAGCUGGUUCAGGGUAAGUUAAGGUGUAAAUCAUCUAAUAUUACAUCUAAUAAUAAGAAAAUGAGGACUCCAGGCCCUUCUAUUAGGUAAUUUACCUCUUAACUAAACCUUAAAUUAUCCUGAACCAGCUUUGUAGUAUAGAUCCAAUUGAUUUUGCAGGUUUGGAUUCUUUGAAGUAAGCUGCGUUGUGACUCAUGCAUGUGAAGUACCGUAUUGUUUUUACUUUUGGUAUUGUGAAUAACCAACUACUAAAUAAUAAUCACUUCGUGAUUUAACGUAUGACUCUGUUUUUGGGAUCCCUUGCUGUGUCCAAGUGGCUAGGUGUUGCACUGAUGAUUUGUGUUGCAAAUAAAUAAGCUUUAUUUGAAAAAAGUUGUGUGUAUCA